UACGUAGGGUGCAAGCGUUGUCCGGAAUUAUUGGGCGUAAAGAGCUCGUAGGCGGUCUGUCGCGUCCGUUGUGAAAACUCGAGGCUCAACGGCGGGCUUGCAGUCGAUACGGGCAGGCUGGAGUUCGGUAGGGGAGACUGGAAUUCCUGGUGUAGCGGUGAAAUGCGCAGAUAUCAGGAGGAACACCGGUGGCGAAGGCGGGUCUCUGGGCCGAUACUGACGCUGAGGAGCGAAAGCGUGGGGAGCGAACAGG
rnacentral:rRNA from 1 species